AGAGGCGGGGCUUUGAGAGAUUUUAGCUUUGCCUCCUUUCCUGCUCUCUUUACCGUACCUCCUUGACGUACCACCCACUUCACCUUGCUUUCGGUGUGCAGAUGAAGUGUGAUCUCUGCUUCCUGUUCCUGCUUCUAUGCCAUCCCUUCCCUGCCAUGAUGGAUGUUGUCCCUCAGAAACCGAGGCGGGGCUUUGAGAGAUUUUAGCUUUGCCUCCUUUCCUGCUCUCUUUACCGUACCUCCUUGACGUACCACCCACUUCACCUUGCUUUCGGUGUGCAGAUGAAGUGUGAUCUCUGCUUCCUGUUCCUGCUUCUAUGCCAUCCCUUCCCUGCCAUGAUGGAUGUUGUCCCUCAGAAACCAAAAUCGCCUUCACCCAAUGAGGCAGCUGGUGACAUGUGACAUCCUGACGUGUAGAUGAGGAAACCAAUGUGACAUGACUUGGUGGGAGAUCCACCCGGGGUGAGCAGAGGAGCCGGGAUUUGAACUCAGGCAGUUGGUCCUCAGUGUCGAGGCGCAUAACAGCCACACUCCAUAGGCUUCCUGGAGUAACCAGCAUGGGCAGGUAUGCUCCACAAAUCACAUUACUCAAGCCUCUUCACUUACAUUGGACUAUUGGAAUUUAAGUAGGUGUCUGGAACACUUGGAUGCUCGACCACUCAUCUCUUUGGUUACCCAGUAUAAACCCAGCUGCAGUCAUACAGGAUCCUUGCUCCCAGGUUCGGUCCAUCUUGAUGAGGAAGGCAGAAGAAUGAAAGUCUGAAGUAGCUGCCACGUCAUAUCCACAAUCGGGAAGCAGAAAGAUGUAUGCAAGGCAUGCAAUGAGGGUCGAAGUUCUGCUUUCUUUCUUCACUUACACAGACUGGGACCACAGCUCGGAAGCAGUACAGACACAAUGGCAUCAAUACAAUCAAAACCGUCUGCCUACAUACCCAAAAGUCCAUCUCCAGACUGGACGUCAGCACAUCCUGUAGAAAGCCCAGAGGAUGCAGAAUCAAAGUCUCUGUCAGGAGGGUGGAGGCCUAAACAGGAACCAUCACCCAUUCAUAAGAUCUCUCCAGCUUGGAAUUAACAGAGGGGAAAAGCAUCAGACGGAGAAGCGUGGUUUAGCAGCUCGACAUGGGAAGGGAGGUGUCUGUGUGCUGAUGCAGAAGUCGAUGCUCUGGACCCUUGUCUGUGCACAGGCAGGACGCCGCUGUUGUGGUGAGAAGAUGUGAGUCAAGCCUUGGUACAGAAGGACUUAGGAUCUCACCAGGAGGAGGAGGUUCACACCAACUUCUAGAAAAUACCAAAAAGGGGACUGCUUCCUGGCUAAUCCUUAAGACCAGUAUUACCCAAACCAGAUAAGAAUGUCAGAAAAGCCAGCAAUCGCUUGGCUUUAUCUGUGCGUGUAAGUCUGUUUAUAUUUGUUUUGAAUUUUCUUUUUUUAUUGUUGUUCUCCAUACCCACUCCCCCUUUUAAAUCAUCAGAACAAGUUUUUAUUUCCCCAGUCACAUUGAUACAUACCUAUAAGUCCAGCUGUUGGGGAGGAAUGGCAAGCUAGAAGCUACUCUGAGCUACAUGAUCCUGUCUGGGACAAAACAAAGUCACAAUCAGCAGCGAAGAAACCCCUUAUUCAUGUCUUCUAUGAUGUCAUCCUCUAGGAUGUCAUCGCCUCCCCGUUUGCUUGGAGCUGGUGUCCAGAGAGAGGCAGGCUCUUCCUCUUGUGGCCUUCCAUGUUGCUGUGUGGCUGAGCAGAGCUGGCAGGAAGGGCCUUGCAUUCUCCACACGGUUCUUUGUAAUUGUAAAAGAUUUCUUUUAAUUUGAGCAUCCAGUGUAGAUUCACAUCAUAGAUGUUGUAACAUAUAUUUAUAGGCUAAAGAGAAGGUUUGGAAAACCAUAGGAUUUAUACUUUAAGGCUUAUCUCCUUAUAAUUUGCUCUUUAUGAACUAUUCCUUCCAGCUGGGCACAGUGGCACAUGUUUGUAAUCCCAGCUCUAAGGAGGGUAUAGCUAGAGACCAACCUGGG
rnacentral:sRNA from 1 species